AUUGAACGCUGGCGGCAGGCCUAACACAUGCAAGUCGAGCGAGCGGCGGACGGGUGAGUAAUGUAUGGGAAUCUGCCUGAUGGAUGGGGAUAACUACUGAAAACGGUGGCUAAUACCGCAUACUCUCCGAUGUUCCCAUAUGGGAUUGGCUAGUAGGUGGGGUAAAGGCUCACCUAGGCGACGAUCCCUAGCUGGUCUUAGAGGAUGAACAGCAACACUGGAACUGAGAAACGGGCCAGACUCCUAAGGGAGGCAGCAGUGGGGAAUAUGGCACAAUGGGCGCAAUCCUGAUGCAGCCAUGCCGCGUGUAUGAAGAAGGCCUUCGGGUUGUAAAGGACUUUCAGCGGGGAGGCGUUACCCGCAGAAGAAGCACCGGCUAACUCCGUGCCAGCAGCCGCGGUAAUAC
rnacentral:rRNA from 1 species